rnacentral:rRNA from 1 species
UGGGGAAUAUUGGACAAUGGGGGGAACCCUGAUCCAGCCAUGCCGCGUGUGUGAAGAAGGCCUUAUGGUUGUAAAGCACUUUAAGCGAGGAGGAGGGUACUGGUAUUAAUACUACCAGGUACUGGACGUUACUCGCAGAAUAAGCACCGGCUAACCCUGUGCCAGCAGCCGCGGUAAUACAGAGGGUGCGAGCGUUAAUCGGAUUUACUGGGCGUAAAGCGUGCGUAGGCGGCUAAUUGAGUCGGAUGUGAAAUCCCCGAGCUUAACUUGGGCAUUGCAUUCGAUACUGGUUAGCUAGAGUGUGGGAGAGGAUGGUAGAAUUCCAGGUGUAGCGGUGAAAUGCGUAGAGAUCUGGAGGAAUACCGAUGGCGAAGGCAGCCAUCUGGCCUAACACUGACGCUGAGGUACGAAAGCAUGGGGAGCAAACAGG